rnacentral:tRNA from 1 species
AUUUAAAUAACUUAAAUUUAAAGUCUAAUAUUGAAAAUAUUAAUAUGAUUUUUUAAUCUUUAAAUA